rnacentral:rRNA from 1 species
AUUGAACGCUGGCGGCAGGCUUAACACAUGCAAGUCGAGCGGAGAUGAGGUGCUUGCACCUUAUCUUAGCGGCGGACGGGUGAGUAAUGCUUAGGAAUCUGCCUAUUAGUGGGGGACAACAUUCCGAAAGGGAUGCUAAUACCGCAUACGUCCUACGGGAGAAAGCAGGGGAUCUUCGGACCUUGCACUAAUAGAUGAGCCUAAGUCGGAUUAGCUAGUUGGUGGGGUAAAGGCCUACCAAGGCGACGAUCUGUAGCGGGUCUGAGAGGAUGAGCCGCCAAACUGGGACUGAGACACAGCCCAGACUCCUACGGGAGGCAGCAGUGGGGAAUAUUGGACAAUGGGGGGAACCCUGAUCCAGCCAUGCCGCGUGUGUGAAGAAGGCCUUAUGGUUGUAAAGCACUUUAAGCGAGGAGGAGGCUACUGAGACUAAUACUCUUGGAUAGUGGACGUUACUCGCAGAAUAAGCACCGGCUAACUCUGUGCCAGCCGCCGCAGUAAGAC